rnacentral:rRNA from 1 species
UACGUAGGGGGCAAGCGUUAUCCGGAUUUACUGGGUGUAAAGGGAGCGUAGGCGGCAGUGCAAGUCCAGAGUGAAAGCCCGGGGCUCAACCCUGGGACUGCUCUGGAAACUGUAAAGCUGGAGUGCGGGAGGGGCAGGCGGAAUUCCUGGUGUAGCGGUGAAAUGCGUAGAUAUCAGGAGGAACACCGGCGGCGAAGGCGGCCUGCUGGACCGUAACUGACGUUGAGGCUCGAAAGCGUGGGGAGCAAACAGG